UGCUGGGAGCUCCACUCACCGGGGGGACAGUGAGACAGGGACCCACCGCUGACACGUCCCACGUCAGACAGGGAGGAGGAGGCCCCCAAAGGGAGGAAGCCAGCAUGCCUGCUGUGUCAGCCAUCAGAGGCUGACCCGGACAUCUGCGGGGAAAAAAUCCAGAUAACUGGGCUCUGUGCCCGCGAGUUCUGCCUGUUUUUUGCCAGCCACCUUCUUC